AUAUGCUAAGGAGACCUUUUCAUGUUGUUAUUAUUAUAUACCAGUAGUGGUAUUAGAGCUUAAAAAUAGUAAUGUUUAGAGUGACUUUGUUUGUAAUCUUUUUUUCAGCUAUUUAAAAAUAGCAGAAUAUUGUAUAG